ACGAACGCUGGCGGCGUGCUUAACCCCUGCAAGUUGAACGGAAAGGCCCUGCUUUUGUGGGGUGCUCGAGUGGCAAACGGGUGAGUAACACGUGAGUAACCUGCCCUUGACUUUGGGAUAACUUCAGGAAACUGGGGCUAAUACCGGAUAGGAGCUCCUGCUGCAUGGUGGGGGUUGGAAAGUUUCGGCGGUUGGGGAUGGACUCGCGGCUUAUCAGCUUGUUGGUGGGGUAGUGGCUUACCAAGGCUUUGACGGGUAGCCGGCCUGAGAGGGUGACCGGCCACAUUGGGACUGAGAUACGGCCCAGACUCCUACGGGAGGCAGCAGUGGGGAAUAUUGCACAAUGGGCGGAAGCCUGAUGCAGCAACGCCGCGUGCGGGAUGACGGCCUUCGGGUUGUAAACCGCUUUCGCCUGUGACGAAGCGUGAGUGACGGUAAUGGGUAAAGAAGCACCGGCUAACUACGUG
rnacentral:rRNA from 1 species